AUUCGGACCGUUUUGUGGCGCGUCUGUGCCCGAAAUGGGAAGUUUUGUGAACCUUAACACUUAGAGGAAGGAGAAGUCGUAACAAGGUUUCCGUAGGUGAACCUGCGGAAGGAUCAUUCACACGUUGUCCUUUUGACAUUUAAUAACAAUCAACCCUUGAAUCCCUAUUACAACAAUAAGCUUGCAUCUCUCGUUUCGAGGGGUGCAUUCGAGAAGUGUGCUGCCCUCUUGUUGUCAUUUUUGACAACAAGAGCAUCGCCUUCUUUUUUUUUCCAACACCGUUUAACUAAACCAACGAUCUGUUGUUUAGCGGGCGGGGAUCCACCUCCUCACUCUGCUAUCACGGAUUGGUUAAUACAAACCUUUUGUAUUUUAAAUUUUCAGCAAUGGAUGUCUUGGCUCGCGCAACGAUGAAGGACGCAGCGAAAUGCGAAACGCAAUGUGAAUUGCAGAAUUCAGUGAAUCAUCAGAUUUCUGAACGCAAAUGGCACCAUGGGGAUACUCUCCUUGGUACGUCUGUUUCAGUGUCUUUGACAUAUUACCUUAUUCUGCUUAUUUAGGGUCGUUGCUUCUUAAUGAAGCCGCCUAUGAGCAGUAUGAUUGGGUGUCAUGAGUAACUAAGGUACCUUUGGUCGCCUGUAAACUCAAUGUCACCUGGAAUAAUGAACACAGAGGAGAAACUCGUGCCUUUUUUAUAUAAGAAAGGCUUCGAAUGUUGAGUUGUAUCACAGGCAUCCUUGGGAUACGGUGGCUUCUCUUUUGAAGACAAACAUUUCAUCGAUGCCUUUGCACGACUUCGACAUCAUGGAAAACAAUUCCAAUGCGAUGUUUCAUCCCUGUUGUUUAUGAGGGCGAACUGGUUUAUAUUGCUUCGGCAAUUGCCAUGACGUCCAUUCUAUUUAUCAGACCUGAAAUCAGGCGAGGCUACCCGCUGAACUUAAGCAUAUUAUUAAGCGGAGGAAAAGAAAAUAACUAUGAUUCCCCUAGUAACGGCGAGUGAACAGGGAUCAGCUCAAAGUGGAAAUCGACGGCUCUUCUGAGCUUUCGACUUGUAGCCUCGAGAGG
rnacentral:rRNA from 1 species